UAAAAAAAAGAAAAGUUCUUCCUUGAAGGAAAUUUACCUUUGCUCUUUUGUCCUUCUUUUCUUUUGGAGAUUCAAAUGAAGCCUUGCUGUUCAGUAGUUAUGAAAGCUAGUGCGCUAUGCUUUUGAAUAGCUGGGGAUCUUUGUCCUUUGCAUUAACUGAAGCAACAGGCUAAGAUGAGGACAGGUUGUUUUGCCUUAUCUUUAAGUUUUUUAAAAACACACGCAUAUACAUGUGGGUUUUUUCAUGGACCACCCAAUUUUUGCUUUCAAUUUUUAUCUGCCUAUAUAUUUUGUCGUUGUCGAGAUGCUUGCUCGCUGUUCAUUGUCUUCUUGUAUCCCAUUUCAAAUUAUGCUGCAAUUUGGAAAAGUUUUGAUCAAUUUGCCCCAUUUGAUUGAAAAACCUUUAAAUGAUGCAUGCUAUAUAGAUAUUUCCUCUUUCAUGGCAUGCUGAGGCCUUUGCUUUCCAAGAUUCUGCAGGAAAGACGAAAUGUAUAGGGAAAAAAAUUAUGAUUUCUAG
rnacentral:misc_RNA from 1 species